rnacentral:rRNA from 1 species
CCUACGGGCGGCUGCAGUCGAGAAUCAUUCACAAUGGGGGAAACCCUGAUGGUGCGACGCCGCGUGGGGGAAUGAAGGUCUUCGGAUUGUAAACCCCUGUCAUGUGGGAGCAAAUUAAAAAGAUAGUACCACAAGAGGAAGAGACGGCUAACUCUGUUCCAGCAGCCGCGGUAAUACAGAGGUCUCAAGCGUUGUUCGGAAUCACUGGGCGUAAAGCGUGCGUAGGCUGUUUCGUAAGUCGUGUGUGAAAGGCGCGGGCUCAACCCGCGGACGGCACAUGAUACUGCGAGACUAGAGUAAAGGAGGGGGAACCGGAAUUCGCGGUGUAGCAGUGAAAUGCGUAGAUAUCGAGAGGAACACUGGUGGCGAAGGCGGGUGCCCGGACAUUAACUGACGCUGAGGCACGAAGGCCAGGGGAGCGAAAGGGAUUAGAUACCCCUGUAGUC